CUGCGGAAGGAUCAUUAUUGAAAUUGAAAAAGAAAGAAAAGAGGGAGGUUGAUGAAAGUGUUUUAUGUCUGCAUGUUGCUGGCCUUUGAAACAAUAAGGCAUGUGCACUGUUGAUGCUCAUCGACUGAACUUUUUUUUCUUUCUUUCUUCGCUUUUCAUCCACCUGUGCACUUUUUGUAGAAGUUCUUGUUGUUGAGAUGAGACUUCUAUGUUCUUUACAAACUAAAAAUGUUGAGAAUGUGUUGUUAUAUUUUAUUGGGACUUCAUUGACCCAUAAAAAAAAAAAAAACCCCUUUAACCAACUUUUCAGCAAAGGAUCUCUUGGCUCUCCCAUCGAUGAAGAACGCAGCGAAAUGCGAUAAGUAAUGUGAAUUGCAGAAUUCAGUGAAUCAUCGAAUCUUUGAACGCACCUUGCACCCUCUGGUAUUCCGGAGGGUAUGCCUGUUUGAGUGUCAUUAACUUCUCAACUUCAAAAAGGUUUUCUUUUUUUGUUGUUUGGAUGUGGAGGUUUUGCUGGUUAUCUCGUUUGAGUUUCAGCUCCUCUUAAAUGCAUUAGUGGAGACUUAUAACCCGUUGUGUUGAUCCCAUUUUGAUGUGAUAAUUAUCUACAUUUUAGUGGUUUCAGCUUUGCUCUCAGAAAUCUGAUUUCUGGUUGAGAAUAUUGCAAGGAUCUAUCUUUGGCUUUAUUCUGAUAGUGGGUUGUAUGUAUGCGUCUGCUUUCUAACUGUAAUCACCUUAUUGAUAAUUGACCUCA
rnacentral:rRNA from 1 species